rnacentral:lncRNA from 1 species
CUUUCGACAUUGAGUUCAUAAUUUUCAUUGAUUUUAUAUGUAUACUGGCCUUUAUCAAAUUAUCGGUAGAUAUAAACGUGCCUGAAUAAGAUUGGCCCUUUUAAAAAAAUAAAACAUUAGGCGGGAACCGCAUAAAUCUUGACAGAUGUCACCGUGAAAAAAAGAUAUAAUCGGCAUUAUGGAAAAACUAGAAAAAGCAACCGUAUAACCAAGCUGUGAUAAUUUUAGGAAUUUGUGUAUUGUAUUGUUAAUAUCGACUGUGAUUGUAACCCAAACUGUUCAGUAUGAGAUUGGCAUUGUAAUAAAACAACGAGCAAGGAGAAGUUCUUUCAUUUAAGACCAGAACAUAGCCUUCAGUUCAGCAAGAGGGAUCAAAGGCUUACUGUCGCCUAAACCACGUCCACAACUUUAUGAACGGCAGAUUGGAUGGUGGUACUGAUUGAGGAGGAGGAUCAGUACAGCUAGCAAUUAAUGCUGAUGAACUUAGCUGCUGCACUAGGAUAAAACAGCAGAGAGGUCCAGGAUAUGGCCAUGAAUCAAGGAUGAAGAACCCGGCACAAAUUAAUGCUGAUGAUGGUCUUAGCUGAGGCUUUAGGCUAAGACAUCAGGGAGGUCAAGGAUACGGUCAUGAUUUAAGGAGUGCAUUGGGUUCAAGGAUGGAGAACCCGGCACAAAUUAAUGCUGAUUGUCUUAGCUGUGGUGUUAGGCUAUGGCAUCAGGGAGGUCAAGGAUACAGUCAUGAUUUAAGGAGUGUGUUGGGUUCAGGGAUGGAGAACCCGGCACAGAUUAAUGCUGUAGGUCUUAGCUGUGGUGUUAGGCUGAGACAUCAGGCAGGUUGAGGACACGGCCAUGAUUUAAGGACUGCUUUGGGUUCAAGGACGGAGAACACAAAUGGUUUCAAGAUUUUAGGACGAGUGGUUUCUUGGUUUUGUUUGGAGCAACUCUUAUAAGGAAGGUUGGAGAAGUGAGCACUGGAGGUUGAGGGACUAUUUUUCAACAUCAUCUGGGUCUGGUGGCAGUUCAUCACCUCAACUUAGGAAAUGAUGUCGCGGAUCAAGUAUAGUGUUAUAUUAAAUCAAUUCCUUAGUAUUCUUGACAAGGUCAAGAGUUCAGACAAACAUAAGUUAUCCUAUAGGGUAGCUAAGACUUGUUAUCAAGGAUUAUCCACCUUUUUAUUUACAUGGGAUGGAGAGAGAAAUUUAUAGAAUCCUUUCCUUGUCGAGAAGACUAUGAUAAACUUCUUUCAUAUAUGUAAUUUUAGUAAGGAAAGUAAAACAUCAUGUGAAAAGAUAGGAUAUCUUGAAAUUUAUUGCCAUAGAAAUAAAAACACUGAUUAAAGGAAUGAAACUCAAACAACUACUAGUGAUAGGACGUAUUUGUGAAAUUUGUAAGGUGUCAGAAUCGGUGCUCGCGGUGAUUUCAGUCAAAGGAAAUAGUAAGUCCAAUGUACUUAGGAUAUGUUUAGGAAAGUGAACGAUAGAGGGCGUGAAGGGCAAUUGAACGCAAAACUGACGCGUACAAAUAUAUACCGUGGUGCAAGUUGUUACUAGACGUCACUAUUACCAUUUACCACUGCAAACUGGUUGGCUGGGUGUAAGUAUUUCGCUAGAUGUCGCUGUACCAUCUGCAAACUAGCGAAAGGCGUUCUACGUAUGGUUAGUUGUAUUUAAUUGGCUGUGAUUUCUUGGAGAGAUGGGUGUUGAUAAAUAAUAAUAAAUAAAUAAAUAAAUAUUAUAGGACAUUCUUACACAGAUCACACAGUGGUUGAAAAAUUGCAUUUGAUCUUUUAAUGUGCUAAUGUUCUGGAUAGUGUUCGCGCCUGGAGGCUUUUACACAUGAUGAUUGUAAUUUGGUUGUAUUAGGCUCGGAUUCUGUGUGAAAAAUAAACCUAAUUAAAAGUCCCGUCAUAAAUAUGUGACAUUCCAUGUCAAAAGGGUGCACAUGCUUUGUGUGUUAUAAGGAACCUUAAUAAUAGAUGGCGAUGCAUUCGAAUAUCUUGAUAAGUUGAUAACUCUAUCAUACUAUUCAAUUUUCAUAUUUAGAUUGUCGCGCUGACAAUGUUGUGUUACAUUUCAAACAAUUCAUUAAUAUCAUGGCAUGAUCAAUUAGUCAUUUGUAGGGUUCCGUAUUUCAAUUUAUUGUGUGAUGCAUUUUCAUUGGAUAAAGCAGUUAUUUGUUCGGGGAUCCAAUUCUAAAUUUUUGGGCCAACGGUAUAAUAUGUCCUUUUGGUAGAUUUGGUCAGUCUGAAGUUGGAUGUUUUUGCCACGCCCCUAUUCCUGUUCCUUAAGCGUCUCAAGUUGACGACUCUGUGUGGAAAUAUGUCAAUGUGGGUUCUUACGAGCUUUAAAAUGUUAAAAUAUAUUGCGAUGGUAAUGUCAUGGUUCAUAAUGAUAUAUAAAUAGUUGUCGAGCUGGCAAACCGGAGGGCGAGUUGGCUAUUAUUCUUAUAGCUCGCUUCUGCAACACGAGGACACCAUGCCGGUCAGCGACGACGCUUCUGAAAUUCUAGACUAGUUUGGCACAGAAUGGAAAAGGACAAAAUAACUACUUCGUACUGCUGCUGCAGAAUUAUGCUGGACUCCUAGACACCCCUAGAGUAUGUAGAGGACCAUAGAGGACUACAUCUACCUGAGGACACUUUAAUUUCAUUUAAACAAGACUUAGAAAAAGAAAUUGAAAGAAGAGUAAAUCGAACAUGGAACAAGUAUUGGUCAUUAAAGGAAAUUUCAAAGGUAAAAAUGUCUACAAAACAAAAAUGAAGACUAAAGCAAUGGAAAUUUGCCUAUUUAUUACCCUGCCUUAUAUAUGCAUGCCAAACCUGGCCCACUAGGAGAGAAACAUUUAGGAGAAUAAAAGCAUGUCAGGGAGGAGUUCAAGGAGGCUACCUAGGACUGAGACUGGAAGAUGGAGUAAAAAAAUAAACGUUCGAAAGAGGACCGGGGCAAAUGAGCAGUUAAGCAGGUAUUACGCUUUAAAUGGAGAUAGGCCGGACACGCAAGGAACCGAGGACGGACACUGGCCAAAUGUGGUAAGCGAGUGGCUAACCCAGGGAAAGAGAAGAAGUGGAAAACCACUCAUAAGAUGGAGCGACGGCAUAAAAAAAAAUAGUAGGCUACAGCUGGCCAGAAGUAGCAAAAGGAAGAGAAUGCUGGAAAGCAUUGGAGGAGGCUUUACCGUUCAGGGUGGUCCUUAUGAAGAUGAUGAAGAAGAUAAAAAAAAACAUAACUGUAAAUAUUUAUCAAGAAAAUAAAAGCUUAUAUUAUAUUAUUAUAUGUUUGUGCUUGAGGAAGAACAAGGACAGUAUUUUGGGUGCGAAACAGAUUCCUGCUAACUUAGUGCGUGCAUACUAAUUCAAUUUGGGUGUCCCAUUUUAGCAAUUGGUCGAGGGUAACGCUCAAAAUUUGGCAGAGGUGACGUGCGGAAGGAUUGUGUUGUUCAUGGUAACUACUGGCGGUCUCCUUCCUAGGUUAAAGUGGAGAACCUGAGUUAUUGAUACAUUUAAGGACGAGCCCAUUAACGAAACCAAUGUACUAGGAGUUUAUGUACGUCACGGGUGAUUGACGUCUUGAAGCUAUCGUUGUUCGGAGCAGUUAGUAUGUCGUCAGCAAAAACAUACAUUUGUAUUAGAAAGCAUAGAUUGGGCCAUGGACGAGCCCUAGGGGAUCCCAAUAUCUACAGAACCACAGUCAGAUUUUACCGAACCACUAUUUAUUACAACGGAUUGCUGUCUUUCCUAUAAGAAAUCGGCCAUGAACUUUAAAACAGAGGCACCUGGACCGUGGUGCUCAAACUUUUUGAUUAGGACGUUGUGAUCGCAAAGGUCAAAAGCAUUCGUCAUGUCGCAAACGACAAUGGUUACAUGUAAAUGGUUCUCUUUAAUAAUUGAGACACAUGAGCGAUUUCGUCGAUAGGCAAAUUGUUUUGUGUGUAUUAAUUGAAACUUUUCUAAAAAGUUAUGCGGCCGAUUACUCACUCCCGCUUUUAAAACUUUGGACAUAGUGGGAAUUAUACUUAUUGGCCUAGGUAUAGUUCCUCAACUCAUCUUUCUGACUUUUGCCUUUAUAAACGGGAACGACUGUUACAUUUUUAAGUAUGGUGGGUAAAUACCUACUUUAAUAAUAAAAAAAUGUUAGUUAACUGAACUAUGCCUAGGUAGUCCAACUUUGAGCAUUAGCAACAUAGUUGAGGUAUCAUAUACAUAUAUACCACAGGUGUUUUUCUUGUAACAAUAUUUGUCGCUAUAUGAUUUUAUACAACUCAUCAAAGGUAAACCGAGACCGAUAACUUAACGGAAACGGGACUUGAGGUGCACGAAUGUGUAAGAGGUACUUCAUUAGUCAGUUCCGGGCGAGCGAUAGGUGCAUUUGCAGCAGAUAAAAAAAAAAUUGAUAUCUUAGCUAACCGGUUCCGCGAUGUGUAUUGUUCGUCCCGGCUAUCUUUUAACGAGUCCAGAUUGCAUUGUCGCUUGCUGGAGACGCGUGUCGUGACGGUGUUUACGAUUUGCCAGAGAGUGUUUAGUUGAUAACCACUACUUUGUAACGUUUUAGCGUAGUAUUCGCGUUGUGCGAUGUGCGUGUGAUAGAGAUUGUUUAAAUUAUUAAUAUUUUGAUUGUGAUAUAAUUAGUUUCAAUAUCUCAUUACUAUGCGGGUGUUUUUGAGCGAUUUCAAUUAACUGGACGAGAAGUUUUUUUUUAUUUUAUUAUUAAGUCGUUUGUGACCCACGGAUAGUUAUAUUUCUUGUGUGUUUGUACAAGACUGUAUGGAAAACAGAUACUGGCAACGUUAUUUGAAAUAUAAUGGAUGUUAAAUGUGUGAUUUGAGCAUUUUGUUAGAUUUUUGGCCAAUCAACUGAAUAAA